rnacentral:misc_RNA from 1 species
CAACUGCGAUAAGUAGUGUGAACUGCAGAAACCUUGAACACAGAACAUUCGAAUGCACAUUGCGCCAUUGGAGAUACAUCCUUUGGCACGCCUGGUUCAGGGUCGUAAACAUAAAGAGCACAGAGUGAGCUUGUAUGUGCUGCUAGACCAACCGUGAGCUCAAACGGUUGCUCUUGCAUUGGUGGUGUGCGCUUAGGCGGUGCUGAGUCGCGCUGGCAUGGACUUGUAUGCAUUCAGUUGCGUUCAUGCUCUUCGUGGCUUGGUGUCGUUUGGGCAGCACUGAGCAUGAGAAACAGACCAACUUUUCGACCUGAACUCAGACGUGAAUACCCGCUGAACUUAA